rnacentral:rRNA from 1 species
CAUGCAAGUCGUACGAGAGUUUUUAACUCUAGUGGCGGACGGGUGAGUAACACGUGAGAAUUUGCCUUUAGGAGGGGGAUAACAAUUGGAAACGAAUGCUAAUACCCCAUAUGCUUUCGAGUGAAAUGGAUUUAUAUUUAUCCGCCUAGAGAGAAGCUCGCGGCUGAUUAGCUUGUUGGUAAGGUAAGAGCUUACCAAGGCGACGAUCAGUAUCUGGUUUGAGAGGACGAUCAGACACACUGGAACUGAGACACGGUCCAGACUCCUACGGGAGGCAGCAGUGGGGAAUUUUCCGCAAUGGGCGAAAGCCUGACGGAGCAAUACCGCGUGAGGGAAGACUGCCUAUGGGUUGUAAACCUCUUUUUUCAGGGAGGAAUCAAUGACGUGUACCUGAAGAAUAAGCAUCGGCUAACUCCGUGCCAGCAGCCGCGGUAAGACGGAGGAUGCAAGUGUUAUCCGGAAUCACUGGGCGUAAAGCGUCUGUAGGUGGUUUAAUGAGUCAACUGUUUAAUCUUGAGGCUCAACUUCAAAAUCGCAGUCGAAACUAUUAGACUAGAGUAUAGUAGAGGUAAAGGGAAUUUCCAGUGGAGCGGUGAAAUGCGUAGAUAUUGGAAAGAACACCGAUGGCGAAAGCACUUUACUGGGCUAUUACUAACA